rnacentral:rRNA from 1 species
UACGUAGGGUGCGAGCGUUGUCCGGAUUUAUUGGGCGUAAAGAGCUCGUAGGCGGCUUGUUACGUCGACUGUGAAACCCGACGGCUCAACUGCGGGCCUGCAGUCGAUACGGGCAGGCUAGAGUUCGGUAGGGGAGACUGGAAUUCCUGGUGUAGCGGUGAAAUGCGCAGAUAUCAGGAGGAACACCGGUGGCGAAGGCGGGUCUCUGGGCCGAUACUGACGCUGAGGAGCGAAAGCGUGGGGAGCGAACAGG